UACAGAGAGUGCGAACGUUGUUCGGAAUUACUGGGCUUAAAGCGCACGUAGGCGGCGCCGCAAGUGCGGGGUGAAAUCCCACGGCUUACCCGUGGAACUGCCUUGCAGACUGUGGUGCUAGAGGAUGGUAGGGGAGAGCGGAACUCCUGGUGGAGCGGUGAAAUGCGUAGAUAUCAGGAGGAACACCGGUGGCGAAGGCGGCUCUCUGGUCCAUGACUGACGCUGAGGUGCGAAAGCUAGGGGAGCAAACGGG
rnacentral:rRNA from 1 species